UGGGGAAUAUUGCGCAAUGGGCGAAAGCCUGACGCAGCGACGCCGCGUGAGGGAUGACGGCCUUCGGGUUGUAAACCUCUUUCAGCGCCGAAGAAGCGAAAGUGACGGUAGGCGCAGAAGAAGCACCGGCUAACUACGUGCCAGCAGCCGCGGUAAUACGUAGGGUGCAAGCGUUGUCCGGAUUUAUUGGGCGUAAAGAGCUCGUAGGCGGUUUGUCGCGUCGGAUGUGAAAACCCGGGGCUUAACUCCGGGCCUGCAUUCGAUACGGGCAGACUAGAGUGUGGUAGGGGAGACUGGAACUCCUGGUGUAGCGGUGAAAUGCGCAGAUAUCAGGAAGAACACCGGUGGCGAAGGCGGGUCUCUGGGCCACUACUGACGCUGAGGAGCGAAAGCGUGGGGAGCAAACA
rnacentral:rRNA from 1 species